GUGAAUUGCAGAAUCCCGUGAACCAUCGAGUUUUUGAACGCAAGUUGCGCCCGAGGUCAAUUGGCUGAGGGCACGUCCGCCUGGGCGUCAAGC
rnacentral:rRNA from 1 species